ACAUGCCUACAACAUAGCGUUAAUGCAUCAGAUCCCAUUAGAAACUUGUAGUUGAGCGCGCUCGGGCUAGAGUAGUACUAGGAUGCGUGACCGUCUGGGAAGUCCUAGUAUUUUACAUGCU
rnacentral:rRNA from 1 species